CUAACAAGGAUUCCCCUAGUAACUGCGAGUGAAGCGGGAAAAGCUCAAAUUUUGAAUCUGACGGUCGUAAAGGCCGUCCGAGUUGUAAUCUAGAGAAGCGUGUUCCGCGCUGGCCCGUGUACAAGUCUCCUGGAAGGGAGCGUCAUAGAGGGUGAGAAUCCCGUCUCUGACACGGACCACCAGUGCCAUGUGAUGCGCUCUCGACGAGUCGAGUUGUUUGGGAAUGCAGCUCAAAACGGGUGGUAAACUCCAUCUAAAGCUAAAUACUGGCGAGAGACCGAUAGCGAACAAGUACCGUGAGGGAAAGAUGAAAAGAACUUUGGAAAGAGAGUUAAACAGUACGUGAAAUUGCUGAAAGGGAAACGCUCGACGUCAGUCGCGUCGGCCAGGGAUCAACCUCGCGAGCGAUCGCUGGGCGCACUUCCUGGUCGACGGGUCAGCGUCAGUUUCGGUCGUCGUACAAGGGCGAGGGGAACGUGGCACUCUUCGGAGUGUGUUAUAGCCUUUCGUCGCAUGCGUCGGCAGGGACUGAGGAACUCGGCGC
rnacentral:rRNA from 1 species